GGCAAUCUGCCCUGCACUCUGGGACAAGCCCUGGAAACGGGGUCUAAUACCGGAUAUGACUGUCCAUCGCAUGGUGGAUGGUGUAAAGCUCCGGCGGUGCAGGAUGAGCCCGCGGCCUAUCAGCUUGUUGGUGAGGUAGUGGCUCACCAAGGCGACGACGGGUAGCCGGCCUGAGAGGGCGACCGGCCACACUGGGACUGAGACACGGCCCAGACUCCUACGGGAGGCAGCAGUGGGGAAUAUUGCACAAUGGGCGAAAGCCUGAUGCAGCGACGCCGCGUGAGGGAUGACGGCCUUCGGGUUGUAAACCUCUUUCAGCAGGGAAGAAGCGAAAGUGACGGUACCUGCAGAAGAAGCGCCGGCUAACUACGUGCCAGCAGCCGCGGUAAUACGUAGGGCGCAAGCGUUGUCCGGAAUUAUUGGGCGUAAAGAGCUCGUAGGCGGCUUGUCACGUCGGUUGUGAAAGCCCGGGGCUUAACCCCGGGUCUGCAGUCGAUACGGGCAGGCUAGAGUUCGGU
rnacentral:rRNA from 1 species